AGUGAACGCUGGCGGUAGGCCUAACACAUGCAAGUCGAACGGCAGCACAGUAAGAGCUUGCUCUUACGGGUGGCGAGUGGCGGACGGGUGAGGAAUACAUCGGAAUCUACUUUUUCGUGGGGGAUAACGUAGGGAAACUUACGCUAAUACCGCAUACGACCUACGGGUGAAAGCAGGGGAUCUUCGGACCUUGCGCGAUUGAAUGAGCCGAUGUCGGAUUAGCUAGUUGGCGGGGUAAAGGCCCACCAAGGCGACGAUCCGUAGCUGGUCUGAGAGGAUGAUCAGCGACACUGGAACUGAGACACGGUCCAGACUCCUAAGGGAGGCAGCAGUGGGGAAUAGUGGACAAUGGGCGCAAGCCUGAUCCAGCUAUACCGCGUGGGUGAAGAAGGCCUUCGGGUUUUAAAGCCCUUUUGUUGGGAAAGAAAAGCAGCAGGUUAAUACCCCGCUGUUCUGACGGUACCCAAAGAAUAAGCACCGGCUAACUUCGUG
rnacentral:rRNA from 1 species